rnacentral:rRNA from 1 species
GAUGAACGCUGGCGGCGUGCCUAAUACAUGCAAGUCGAGCGAACAGACGAGUAGCUUGCUCCUCUGACGUUAGCGGCGGACGGGUGAGUAACACGUGGAUAGCCUACCUAUAAGACUGGGAUAACUUCGGGAAACCGGAGCUAAUACCGGAUAAUAUAUUGAACCGCAUGGUUCAAUAGUGAAAGACGGUUUUGCUUUCACUUAUAGAUGGAUCCGCGCCGCAUUAGCUAGUUGGUAAGGUAACGGCUUACCAAGGCAACGAUGCGUAGCCGACCUGAGAGGGUGAGCGGCCACACUGGAACUGAGACACGGUCCAGACUCCUACGGGAGGCAGCAGUAGGGAAUCUUCCGCAAUGGGCGAAAGCCUGACGGAGCAACGCCGCGUGAGUGAUGAAGGUCUUCGGAUCGUAAAACUCUGUUAUUAGGGAAGAACAAAUGUGUAAGUAACUAUGCACGUCUUGACGGUACCUAAUCAGAAAGCCACGGCUAACUACGUG